AGACCCGAAACCCGGUGAUCUAGCCAUGGGCAGGUUGAAGGUUGGGUAACACUAACUGGAGGACCGAACCGACUAAUGUUGAAAAAUUAGCGGAUGACCUGUGGCUGGGGGUGAAAGGCCAAUCAAACCGGGAGAUAGCUGGUUCUCCCCGAAAGCUAUUUAGGUAGCGCCUCGUGAAUUCAUCUCCGGGGGUAGAGCACUGUUUCGGCUAGGGGGCCAUCCCGGCUUACCAACCCGAUGCAAACUGCGAAUACCGGAGAAUGUUAUCACGGGAGACACACGGCGGGUGCUAACGUCCGUCGUGAAGAGGGAAACAACCCAGACCGCCAGCUAAGGUCCCAAAGUCAUGGUUAAGUGGGAAACGAUGUGGGAAGGCCCAGACAGCCAGGAUGUUGGCUUAGAAGCAGCCAUCAUUUAAAGAAAGCGUAAUAGCUCACUGGUCGAGUCGGCCUGCGCGGAAGAUGUAACGGGGCUAAACCAUGCACCGAAGCUGCGGCAGCGACACUCAGGUGUCGUUGGGUAGGGGAGCGUUCUGUAAGCCUGCGAAGGUGGCCUGUGAGGGUUGCUGGAGGUAUCAGAAGUGCGAAUGCUGACAUAAGUAACGAUAAAGCGGGUGAAAAGCCCGCUCGCCGGAAGACCAAGGGUUCCUGUCCAACGUUAAUCGGGGCAGGGUGAGUCGACCCCUAAGGCGAGGCCGAAAGGCGUAGUCGAUGGGAAACGGGUUAAUAUUCCCGUACUUGGUGUUACUGCGAAGGGGGGACGGAGAAGGCUAUGUUGGCCGGGCGACGGUUGUCCCGGUUUAAGCGUGUAGGUGUGUGUUCCAGGUAAAUCCGGUUCACUUUAACACUGAGGCGUGACGACGAGGCACUACGGUGCUGAAGCAACAAAUGCCCUGCUUCCAGGAAAAGCCUCUAAGCAUCAGGUAACAUCAAAUCGUACCCCAAACCGACACAGGUGGUCAGGUAGAGAAUACCAAGGCGCUUGAGAGAACUCGGGUGAAGGAACUAGGCAAAAUGGUGCCGUAACUUCGGGAGAAGGCACGCUGACAUGUAGGUGAAGUGAUUUACUCAUGGAGCUGAAGUCAGUCGAAGAUACCAGCUGGCUGCAACUGUUUAUUAAAAACACAGCACUGUGCAAACACGAAAGUGGACGUAUACGGUGUGACGCCUGCCCGGUGCCGGAAGGUUAAUUGAUGGGGUCAGCGCAAGCGAAGCUCCUGAUCGAAGCCCCGGUAAACGGCGGCCGUAACUAUAACGGUCCUAAGGUAGCGAAAUUCCUUGUCGGGUAAGUUCCGACCUGCACGAAUGGCGUAAUGAUGGCCAGGCUGUCUCCACCCGAGACUCAGUGAAAUUGAACUCGCUGUGAAGAUGCAGUGUACCCGCGGCAAGACGGAAAGACCCCGUGAACCUUUACUAUAGCUUGACACUGAACAUUGAGC
rnacentral:rRNA from 1 species